rnacentral:rRNA from 2 species
UGGGGAAUAUUGCACAAUGGAGGGAACUCUGAUGCAGCGACGCCGCGUGAACGAAGAAGGCUUUCGAGUCGUAAAGUUCUUUUAUAUGGGAAGAUAAUGACGGUACCAUAAGAAAAAGCCCCGGCUAACUACGUGCCAGCAGCCGCGGUAAUACGUAGGGGGCUAGCGUUGUCCGGAAUCACUGGGCGUAAAGGGUUCGCAGGCGGAAAUGCAAGUCAGGUGUAAAAGGCAGUAGCUUAUCUACUGUAAGCAUUUGAAACUGCAUAUCUUGAGAAGAGUAGAGGUAAGUGGAAUUUUUAGUGUAGCGGUGAAAUGCGUAGAUAUUAAAAAGAAUACCGGUGGCGAAGGCGACUUACUGGGCUCAUUCUGACGCUGAGGAACGAAAGCGUGGGUAGCAAACAGG